rnacentral:rRNA from 1 species
GUCGAGCGCAGGAAGCAAGCUGAUCCCCUUCGGGGGUGACGCUUGUGGAAUGAGCGGCGGACGGGUGAGUAACACGUGGGCAACCUGCCUGUAAGACUGGGAUAACCCCGGGAAACCGGGGCUAAUACCGGAUAAUACUUUCUUUUGCAUAAAGGAAAGUUGAAAGGCGGCUUCGGCUGUCACUUACAGAUGGGCCCGCGGCGCAUUAGCUAGUUGGUGAGGUAACGGCUCACCAAGGCGACGAUGCGUAGCCGACCUGAGAGGGUGAUCGGCCACACUGGGACUGAGACACGGCCCAGACUCCUACGGGAGGCAGCAGUAGGGAAUCUUCCGCAAUGGACGAAAGUCUGACGGAGCAACGCCGCGUGAGUGAUGAAGGUUUUCGGAUCGUAAAACUCUGUUGUUAGGGAAGAACAAGUUGGGUAGUAACUGACCCAACCUUGACGGUACCUAACCAGAAAGCCACGGCUAACUACGUGCCAGCAGCCGCGGUAAUACGUAGGUGGCAAGCGUUGUCCGGAAUUAUUGGGCGUAAAGCGCUCGCAGGCGGUCCUUUAAGUCUGAUGUGAAAUCUCGCGGCUCAACCGCGAACGGUCAUUGGAAACUGGAGGACUUGAGUACAGAAGAGGAGAGUGGAAUUCCACGUGUAGCGGUGAAAUGCGUAGAGAUGUGGAGGAACACCAGUGGCGAAGGCGACUCUCUGGUCUGUAACUGACGCUGAGGAGCGAAAGCGUGGGGAGCGAACAGGAUUAGAUACCCUGGUAGUCCACGCCGUAAACGAUGAGUGCUAGGUGUUAGGGGGUUUCCGCCCCUUAGUGCUGAAGUUAACGCAUUAAGCACUCCGCCUGGGGAGUACGGCCGCAAGGCUGAAACUCAAAAGAAUUGACGGGGGCCCGCACAAGCGG